rnacentral:rRNA from 1 species
UGAGGAAUAUUGGACAAUGGGCGCGAGCCUGAUCCAGCCAUGCCGCGUGCAGGAAGAAGCAUCUAUGGUGUGUAAACUGCUUUUGUACGGGAAGAAACACUCCUUCGUGAAGGAGCUUGACGGUACCGUAAGAAUAAGGAUCGGCUAACUCCGUGCCAGCAGCCGCGGUAAUACGGAGGAUCCAAGCGUUAUCCGGAAUCAUUGGGUUUAAAGGGUCCGUAGGCGGUUUAGUAAGUCAGUGGUGAAAGCCCAUCGCUCAACGAUGGAACGGCCAUUGAUACUGCUAGACUUGAAUUACAAGGAAGUAACUAGAAUAUGUAGUGUAGCGGUGAAAUGCUUAGAUAUUACAUGGAAUACCAAUUGCGAAGGCGGGUUACUACUUGUGGAUUGACGCUGAUGGACGAAAGCGUGGGGAGCGAACA